GAUGAAGAACGUAGCGAAAUGCGAUAAGUAGGGUGAAUUGCAGAACUCAGUGAAUCAUCGAAUCUUUGAACGCACAUUGCGCCCCCUGGUAUUCCGGGGGGCAUGCCUGUCCGAGCGUCAUUGCUGCCCUCAAGCACGGCUUGUGUGUUGGGCCUCCGUCCUCCUCCCGGGGGACGGGCCCGAAAGGCAGCGGCGGCACCGCGUCCGGUCCUCGAGCGUAUGGGGCUUCGUCACCCGCUCUUGUAGGCCCGGCCGGCGCUUGCCGACACAUCAAUCUUUUUUCCAGGUUGACCUCGGAUCAGGUAGGGAUACCCGCUGAACUUAAGCAUAUCAAUAAGCGGAGGA
rnacentral:misc_RNA from 1 species